UAGGGAAUCUUCCGCAAUGGACGCAAGUCUGACGGAGCAACGCCGCGUGAGUGAAGAAGGAUUUCGGUUCGUAAAACUCUGUUGUUAGAGAAGAACAGCGCAUAGAGUAACUGUUAUGCGUGUGACGGUAUCUAACCAGAAAGCCACGGCUAACUACGUGCCAGCAGCCGCGGUAAUACGUAGGUGGCAAGCGUUGUCCGGAUUUAUUGGGCGUAAAGCGAGCGCAGGCGGUCAAUUAAGUCUGAUGUGAAAGCCCCCGGCUCAACCGGGGAGGGUCAUUGGAGACUGGUUGACUUGAGUGCAGAAGAGGAGAGUGGAAUUCCAUGUGUAGCGGUGAAAUGCGUAGAUAUAUGGAGGAACACCAGUGGCGAAGGCGACUCGCUGGUCUGUAACUGACGCUGAGGCUCGAAAGCGUGGGUAGCAAACAGG
rnacentral:rRNA from 1 species